AUUGAACGCUGGCGGCAUGCUUUACACAUGCAAGUCGAACGGUAACAGCACUUCGGUGGCUGACGAGUGGCGAACGGGUGAGUAAUACAUCGGAACGUGCCUAGUAGUGGGGGAUAACUACUCGAAAGAGUAGCUAAUACCGCAUGAGAUCUAAGGAUGAAAGCAGGGGACCUUCGGGCCUUGCGCUACUAGAGCGGCUGAUGGCAGAUUAGGUAGUUGGUGGGAUAAAAGCUUACCAAGCCGACGAUCUGUAGCUGGUCUGAGAGGACGACCAGCCACACUGGGACUGGGACACGGCCCAGACUCCUACGGGAGGCAGCAGUGGGGAAUUUUGGGCAAUGGGCGCAAGCCUGAUCCAGCAAUGCCGCUGCAGGAUGAAGGCCUUCGGGUUGUAAACUGCUUUUGUACGGAACGAAAGGCCCUCUUCUAAUACAGGAGGGUCAUGACGGUACCGUAAGAAUAAGCACCGGCUAACUACGUG
rnacentral:rRNA from 1 species